AUUGAACGCUGGCGGCGUGCUUAACACAUGCAAGUCGAACGAGGUAGCAAUACCUAGUGGCAGACGGGUGAGUAACGCGUGGUCAACCUACCCUCGAGCGGGGGAUAACUAGCCGAAAGGCUAGCUAAUACCGCAUAACACUGUAGCCGGCAUCGGCAGCAGUUGAAAGUAGCAAUACACUCGAGGACGGGACCGCGUCCGAUUAGUUAGUUGGUGGGGUAGCGGCCUACCAAGACUCCGAUCGGUAGCUGGUUUGAGAGAACGAUCAGCCACACUGGGACUGAGAACGGCCCAGACUCCUACGGGAGGCAGCAGUGAGGAAUUUUCCGCAAUGGGCGAAAGCCUGACGGAGCGACGCCGCGUGUGGGAAGAAGG
rnacentral:rRNA from 1 species